rfam:Alpha proteobacterium symbiont of Oscarella lobularis scaffold1, whole genome shotgun sequence.
CGCAUAUUUUGCUCAGGCGGAGCUCGACCGCCGGUCCAGGACAUGAUCGCCUUUUUCGAAGAGAACAGGGAUAUCGGGGGCGAGCCGAUCAACGGCCU